UAAAUUUUGGUUAAGUGGGUAAAUGUUUGAUUCAUUAAUCUAAAGGUCUAAGGUUCGAAUCCUUUUGAUGGGA